rnacentral:rRNA from 1 species
AGGGUUUGAUCAUGGCUCAGAUUGAACGUUGGCGGCAGGCCUUAUACAUGCAAGUCGAACGGUAACAGCGGAGCUUGCUCCGGCUGACGAGUGGCGGACGGGUGAGUAACGCGUAGGAAUCUACCCAGUAGCGGGGGAUAGCCCGAGGAAACUCGGAUUAAUACCGCAUACGCCCUAAGGGGGAAAGGCCGGGAUCUUCGGACCGGUCACUAUUGGAGGAGCCUGCGUUGGAUUAGCUAGUUGGUGAGGUAAAGGCUCACCAAGGCGACGAUCCAUAGCUGGUCUGAGAGGACGAUCAGCCACACUGGAACUGAGACACGGUCCAGACUCCUACGGGAGGCAGCAGUAGGGAAUCUUGUGCAAUGGGGGAAACCCUGACACAGCCAUGCCGCGUGUGUGAAGAAGGCCUUAGGGUUGUAAAGCACUUUCAGCAGGGAGGAAUUAGCACGGUUAAUACCCGUGUGAAAUGACGUUACCUGCAGAAGAAGUACCGGCUAACUCCGUGCCAGCAGCCGCGGUAAUACGGAGGGUACGAACGUUAAUCGGAAUUACUGGGCGUAAAGCGCGCGUAGGCGGACGUGCAAGUUAGGGGUGAAAGCCCUGGGCUCAACCUGGGAACUGCAUACCAAACUGCGCAACUAGAGUACGAUAGAGGGGGGUAGAAUUUCAGGUGUAGCGGUGAAAUGCGUAGAGAUCUGAAGGAAUACCGGUGGCGAAGGCGGCCCCCUGGAUUGAUACUGACACUGAGGUGCGAAAGCGUGGGUAGCAAACAGGAUUAGAUCCCCUGGUAGUCCACGCCGUAAACGAUGUCUACUAGCCGUUGGAAUCCUUAGAGGUUUUAGUGGCGCAGCUAACGCAAUAAGUAGACCGCCUGGGGAGUACGGCCGCAAGGCUAAAACUCAAAUGAAUUGACGGGGGCCCGCACAAGCUGUGGAGCAUGUGGUUUAAUUCGACGCAACGCGAAGAACCUUACCUACUCUUGACAUCCCGAGAAUUUACUAGAGAUAGUUUAGUGCCUUCGGGAACUCGGUGACAGGUGCUGCAUGGCUGUCGUCAGCUCGUGUCGUGAGAUGUUGGGUUAAGUCCCGUAACGAGCGCAACCCUUAUCCUUAUUUGCCAGCACUAAUGGUGGGAACUCUAAGGAGACUGCCGGUGAUAAACCGGAGGAAGGAGAGGAUGACGUCAAGUCAUCAUGGCCCUUACGGCCUGGGCUACACACGUGCUACAAUGGACAGUACAGAGGGAAGCGAUACCGCGAGGUGGAGCAAAUCCCAGAAAACUGUUCGUAGUCCGGAUCGGAGUCUGCAACUCGACUCCGUGAAGUCGGAAUCGCUAGUAAUCGCGAAUCAGCAUGUCGCGGUGAAUACGUUCCCGGGCCUUGUACACACCGCCCGUCACAUCAUGGGAGUGGGCUGCAAAAGAAGUGGCUAGUCUAACCUUCGGGAGGACGGUCACCACUUUGUGGUUCAUGACUGGGAUGAAGUCGUAACAAGGUAGCCG